rnacentral:rRNA from 1 species
GACGAACGCUGGCGGCGUGGAUUAGGCAUGCAAGUCGAACGGUAGGAUACCUUCGGGUAUCUGAGAGUGGCGAACGGGUGAGUAACACGUAGGUGAUCUACCCUCAAGAUUGGGACAACCCAGGGAAACUUGGGCUAAUACCGGAUGAAAGCAGCAGUGAUGUUGUUUGAAAGGUGGCGUAAGCUGCCGUUUGGGGAUGAGCCUGCGCCUAUUAGUUAGUUGGCGGGGUAAAGGCCCACCAAGGCGAUGAUAGAUAGGCGGCCUUAACGGGUGGUCGCCCACACUGGGAUUGAGAUACGGCCCAGACUCCUACGGGAGGCAGCAGUCGAGAAUAGUCUACAAUGGCCGAAAGGCUGAUAGUGCGACGCCGCGUGAACGAAGAAGCCCUUCGGGUGUAAGUUACUUUUAUUAUGUGAGCAGUGCUUUCUAUGUGAACAGCAUGGGAGGAGAGAUAUUAGCAUAUGAAUAAGCAACGGCUAACUCCGUGCCAGCACG